UGAAUACGAGACGCUACGGCGUUGAAGCAGUGUAUGUCAUACUUCCAAGAAAAGCUCGCAAGGUCAUAAACAAAUAAUGCCUGUACCAUAACCGACACAGGUGGGUAGGUAGAGUAUACUAAGGGGCGCGAGAUAGCUCUCUCUAAGGAACUCGGCAAAAUGACUCCGUAACUUCGGGAGAAGGAGUGCCUUAUUUUAUAAGGUUGCAAUAACAAGAUCCAAGCAACUGUUUAUCAAAAACACAGGUCUCCGCUAAGUCGUAAGACGAUGUAUGGGGGCUGACGCCUGCCCAGUGCCAGAAGGUUAAAGAAGUUGGUUAGCAAUUGCAAAGCUGAUGACUGAAGCCCUGGUGAACGGCGGCCGUAACGAUAACGGUCCUAAGGUAGCGAAAUUCCUUGUCGGGUAAGUUCCGACCCGCACGAAAGGCGUAAUGAUUUGGAUACUGUCUCAGAGAGGGGCUCGGUGAAAUAGACUUGUCUGUGAAGAUGCGGACUACCUGCACCUGGACAGAAAGACCCUAUGAAGCUUUACUGUAACUUGAAAUUGAAACUGGACUUUACUUGCGCAGGAUAGGUGGGAGGCGUUGAGAGUAUUCUUGCGGGAAUAUUGGAGCCAUCGGUGAGAUACCACUCUUGUAAUGUUAGGUUUCUAACUUGGUAUCAUGAUCUGGUCCAAGAACAGUUUCAGGCGGGCAGUUUGACUGGGGCGGUCGCCUCCUAAACGGUAACGGAGGCGUACAAAGGUUCCCUCUGAACGGGUAGAAAUCGUAUCUAGAGUGUAAAGGCAUAAGGAAGCUUGACUGUGAGACCUACAAGUCGAGCAGGGACGAAAGUCGGUCUUAGUGAUCUGACGGUGCUGAGUGGAAAGGCCGUCACUCAACGGAUAAAAGUUACUCUAGGAUAACAGGCUGAUCUCCCCCAAGAGUUCACAUCGACGGGGAGGUUUGGCACCUCGAUGUCGGCUCAUCGCAUCCUGGGGCGGUAGUACGUCCCAAGGGUUGGGCUGUUCGCCCAUGAAAGCGGUACGCGGGCUGGGUUCAGAACGUCGUGAGACAGUUCGGUCCAUAUCCGGUGUAGGCGUUAGAAUAUUGAGAGGAGCCUUCUUUAGUACGAGAGGACCGAGAAGGACACACCUAUGGUGUACCAGUUAUCGUGCCAACGGUAAACGCUGGGUAGCUAUGUGUGGAGUGGAUAACCGCUGAAAGCAUCUAAGUGGGAAGCCCACCUCAAGAUGAGUAUUCCCAUCU
rnacentral:rRNA from 1 species